AACCGCAUAGUGCAGUGGAUUAGAUCGUCUGACUUUGUAUCAGAAGGUUGUAGGUUCGACUCCAACUGUGGUUG
rfam:Ipomoea nil DNA, scaffold: scaffold0715, cultivar: Tokyo-kokei standard.